rnacentral:rRNA from 1 species
CAGUUUUUUUCCCCCGGGGGACAGCAUAUCAAUAAGCGGAGGAAARGRMASMMACAGGGAUUGCCCUAGUAACGGCGAGUGAAGCGGCAACAGCUCAAAUUUGAAAUCUGGCGUCUUUGGCGUCCGAGUUGUAAUUUGCAGAGGGCGCUUUGGCAUUGGCAGCGGUCCAAGUUCCUUGGAACAGGACGUCACAGAGGGUGAGAAUCCCGUACGUGGUCGCUAGCCUUUACCGUGUAAAGCCCCUUCGACGAGUCGAGUUGUUUGGGAAUGCAGCUCUAAAUGGGAGGUAAAUUUCUUCUAAAGCUAAAUACUGGCCAGAGACCGAUAGCGCACAAGUAGAGUGAUCGAAAGAUGAAAAGCACUUUGGAAAGAGAGUUAAAAAGCACGUGAAAUUGUUGAAAGGGAAGCGCUUGCAGCCAGACUUGCCUGUAGUUGCUCAUCCGGGUUUUUACCCGGUGCACUCUUCUAUAGGCAGGCCAGCAUCAGUUUGGGCGGUUGGAUAAAGGUCUCUGUCACGUACCUCCUCUCGGGGAGAACUUAUAGGGGAGACGUAAUGCAACCAGCCUGGACUGAGGUCCGCGCAUCUGCUAGGAUGCUGGCGUAAUGGCUGUAAGCGGCCCGUCUUGAAACACGGACCAAGGAGUCUAACAUCUAUGCGAGUGUUUGGGUGUCAAGCCCGAGCGCGUAAUGAAAGUGAACGGAGGUGGGAACCUUUCGGGGUGCACCAUCGACCGAUCCUGAUGUCUUCGGAUGGAUUUGAGUAAGAGCAUAGCUGUUGGGACCCGAAAGAUGGUGAACUAUGCUUGAAUAGGGUGAAGCCAGAGGAAACUCUGGUGGAGGCUCGCAGCGGUUCUGACGUGCAAAUCGAUCGUCAAAUUUGGGCAUAGGGGCGAAAGACUAAUCGARCWRYMKRGYASCUGGUUCUGCGCCCCUCCCCCUCCGGCAGAGAAAA